UUUGCCCUAUAAAUAGACUACGAGCGUAGCAGCAUCUAAGCCAAGCAGCCAUGAAGAGAGGCAUCGCUUUCAUCCUCGUGCUGACACUUUCGCUCGCCGGCGGCCGCCUCUCCGCUGCUGCCGUCGCCGACGUCGCCAUAAUCCGCCUCCCCGCUCACGAAAAGGCAGCAAUUAAUUAACACACAAUUAAUCAUCGGAUACUUGAUGAAACUAGCUGGAGGAAUGGAUGCAGCGGGAGUAGCGUCGGAGGGGGAAGAGGAGAAGCCGUGGAAGUGCUGCGACCUGACGAUUUGCGCGAGGAGUUUCCCGCCGACGUGCAGGUGCGCGGACGUGGUGAAGCAGUGCGCCGACGGCUGCAAGAGCUGCAUGGGUGUCCCGUUCGGACACAUCUGCAACGACUGGUACACUGGCGACCCGGCCCAAGGUGCCACCAAUGGUAAUUAAACUGGCAUGCAUGCACCGCACGUGACGUGCUACGUACUCCAUGCACGAGUUGAAUAAAUAAAGUUGGUAAUACUGUACGGUGUGUUGAAUAAAGUCUGGGUGAUGAUCGGAUUGAUCUCUGGUGGUUCUAUUAAUGUGUGAUUGUUGUUGUGUUGUACUCCACGUUGGCAUGAAUAAGAGUAAAUGGUGGAGCGUUGUUUUUGUCCA